UACGUAGGCAGCAAGCGUUGUUCGGAGUUACUGGGCGUAAAGAGUGCGUAGGCGGUGCUCUAAGUUUGGUGUGAAAUCUCCCGGCUCAACUGGGAGGGUGCGCCGAAAACUGGAGUGCUUGAGUAUGGGAGAGGUAAGCGGAAUUCCUGGUGUAGCGGUGAAAUGCGUAGAUAUCAGGAGGAACACCGGUGGCGAAGGCGGGUCUCUGGGCCGAUGACUGACGCUGAGGAGCGAAAGCGUGGGGAGCGAACAGG
rnacentral:rRNA from 1 species